rnacentral:lncRNA from 1 species
GAAUAGUACUUGAAAGGUUGUUGUGACUAAGGUCGAGGAUGUGAAGGCCAUGAAGAUUGCACAGUUGCUGGGAAAUGCGUCCAGUAAAAUAAUUGGACCGUAAUCGUAGCAUAGACAAUAUGGAUACAUUUGAUCCUCCUACCCAUAGAGGUAUGUUCCCAGAUAACUUGUUGUCACCAAGAUCAAUACUCAUCAAACUAGAACAAUUUUACAAAGAAUCAGGAAUUUCACCUCCAAAAUUGUUGUUGUUGAGCUUUAAUAUUUCAAGGGAACUUAGUACCCCCAAUGAAGUGGGAAUCUUACCAAAGAGGUUGUUUUGAUCAACAUCUAGAAACACCAUGUUGCUCUCCACACUCCAUGCGUUUGGGAGUUCUCUAGAAAAUUGAUUGCUCCUCAGAGACAGGAUUCUCAAGUGCUGCAUGUUGCAAAUAGAGGGAGGAAUAGUGUCAUUCAAAUGAUUCUCAUGAAGUAACAAUUCUUGCAAAUUGGGCAUCAUUUGGUCAAUAUUUGAGGUGAUUGGCCCUGAAAAUAAAUUGCUUUCAAGAUAAAGGUAUAAAGCAUGAGUCGACCACCAAAGUGGGAGUUGGCCCUCCAAUUGAUUAUGACUCAAGUCAACAACAUCUAAAUUUGGAAAUUUCAAAUGGGAUGGAACAUUUCCAUGAAAUUGGUUGACACAAGUGUUGCAAAAUUUAAACUAACCGAAAUUAGUCCAACUUAGUUCCAAAGUUUAUGCUCGGAAGCGUACAAAUCGGUUGAUAGUAUAUAAAGCAAGCACUUAAUAUCAUCCCUCAGAAAAUGAUUUAAUUCUUAUCAACUAACUUAAGUCCAAUUGCAACGAAGUAAAAUUAGCAAAGAUUGAUGAAAGAUGGAUUUGAGAAUUGAAACUAAUAGUAAAAACAAAUGAAAACAAGAAAGUUUGAUCACAAUGCAAAAAGUGGUAGCCAAGAACACAAAUUGUAAUUCAGUCGAGUAAAACGCUAGAGCAUCCGACUCACCAUAACCAAUCCAACUUAUUUUCUUCAGUGAAUUAUUAACAAGUACUCAACCUCAUUGAUAGUCAAAUCUCCCCAACACAUGUAAUAUCUAUGGCAUCUAGACUAUUACGUAUAUCCCAAUAUGCAACCAUCCAUGGCAUCUGGAAUAGUUUAACAUAAUAAAACUCAUUACAAUCAGUGGAAAUUUAUAUAAAGAUUACACAAAUCCUAGAGUCUGACAUCUACUACUAGGUAAUUCAUGGUAUCUAUGUGCAAGAAGCUAUUACUCAAGUUGAAAACAUGACACCUACACAACUUGUAUCAAAUUCACCAAGACUAAAACCAAGCAUAUAAGCACAGCAAACGAUACUCAAUGAAAUUGAAAACUCGAAAAUAAUUCAAUUCAGAAUUUAAUCAUUCAUAGUCAUGGCUACACCAUAGCCUUAGCUAAGGAAAAUUAGUUUCGAAACAUAACUGGAAAUAUGAUUGAAUUCAUAUAAAAAAAAAAUUAAAAGAAAAACUAAGUUUAGAAAAGCCUGAAAUCCCCGUGCUCUGCCGCUGCCUUCUUCUCUUUUUUCUCCUUCCAGAAAAAAUUGAUCAGUUCUUUUCCUUCUUUUCCCCUUUUACGUUUCCGUAACCGACGAAAGAUUAACCCCAAUUAAUUGCUGACGGUAAAAGAGAGGAAACGGUAGAAGUCUUCAAUUAUGUGCUGGCCACUCUUUGGUACAUUAAGGCACCCAAAUGAACAUCUAUUAACAUUAAGCUCGUGCCCUUGAUCUCCUUGCUGCUGCUUCCCCUAGGUUCAAUAACUCUUUCAUUGCCAUCAAUAAAUCCAUUUAUACAAACAACCAAGUCUCUCUCUUUGAUGCCUUCUCCAAAACCCAUAAUAAAAGAGAACACAUACCACAAGAAAAUCAAACAAAUUAGGAGCAAGAAAAUAUGGGAAUAACAUUCCUCUGCUUUCCUUUUCCGUUCUCCCCCAACUGUGCAACUGCAAUUUCACCAACUUAAUCACUGCCUCUUUGAUGCGAUCUCCCAUUUUUCUGAUUCUGUAGCAGUCAAUUCCCCAUUUUUCUUUGAGAUAGUGAGUUCCUCCUGGAAAAUGGUAAAAGUCGCAAGCCUUUCAAUCAUCUUUUAAGACAGAUCAAAUUGAAGUUUGAUGCCCUUUAAGUAUUGAAGUGGCCAUGUGGAAGCAAAACAAACUGGUUCAUCUUUGGAUCCAAAUGAUAGAAAUAUUGCCAGCUUUUACCAUGUAGACCCUACAUAAAAAUUAUGAGAAUAAGAUGAAUUUAGAUAAUGCCUGCACAUGAAUCCAAAAGAGGAGAAGCUCCAACAACGUCCACUUUGACUAGAAAUUAAACAAAAAUCUUAGGAAUGUUGCCUUAUUAUUAAUCUAGUCAUAAAGGCACAAAUCUCUGAAAUUCCUUUCAUUUUUGUCCAACUUAUCACAAGAAAAUGUAACUUUUGGAGUAAAUAAAUAGUAAAAUAUGCGAUCAUCAAAUACCCCCAAACUUACAUUUUGCUUGUCCUUGAGCAAAAGAAGAAAACAUAAGAACAAGUAAUAGCAUGAUAAUAUCCAGAGAUUUGAAGCCUGUUUUAGAUAAAUCAAGGUUUUCCAGAGAUUUGAAGUUUGAAUAUUCACUUGGAAAAUUAUCCCUAAAAUAAUUCCCGGAUCGAUCAAGUGUUAUGAGGUUGGUACGAUUAAGAAACCAACUGGGAAAUGAAGAACUUUUAAUGCCAUCAACCGACAUAUCAAGGACCAAAAGUGACGUCAAGUUAAUCCUCUGCAAUGAGAGUGGAAGAAAGUUAACGCUCUGUAGUGAGAGUGGAAUGCUUUCAAUUUGACACGAAGAUAAAUAUAACUCUAACAAUGAAGGGAGCAUGAUAAUAUCAUAUGCCCAACUGACUCCUGUGCUGCUAAGAUCAACGUCAUUGAAAUUAAUGCAUUUCAGGGAAGAGAGGUGAGGAAGCCAAUUCAAAUUUUUGGAAGAUAAGUCUUAAUUCCACCCGAGAUCAAGAAAAUUUAGGCUCGACAGGUUACCAAGAGAAGAGGGAAUCUCUCCUCCAAAUGACGCAGAGGAGAGAUUGAGAUAUUGCAAACUUUUAAGCUCCCCAAUGAACUUAGGAAUUUGAUUGCUAAGAAAAUAAUUCCCGCUCAAGUCCAGGUAAUUUAAAUGUUUCAAGCUCAACAGAGAAGCAUUUAUCUUACCUCACAAAUUCUCGCAGAGAAGAAUCUAUUUUUGGCCAUAUCAAAAAGUUCAAACUUUGUUGUUGAAAUUCCAUAUUUUGUUGUGUACAAAACCCCAGAUUUACAAAAAUUCUGGAAAUUAGUUAAAAAACAGGGAAUUACUUCCAUCAGAGUUCAUGGUCUUUGUAAAAUACAUAAAUAAAAAAUUCAAAAAAAUAAAUAAAAAAAAAAUAAAAAAAAGUUGAAAAAAAAACCAAUUUAUCUUCAUUUCAUGUAAAUUGAUCAUAGUUUUGCUCAACACAAACAUAUCUACUCUACGAUCGUUGUAGAGUAGACAUUAGGUGGACAACUCUUUUGACUAUGCCAAUAGACACAUUACGAAAGUUUACUUUCCAUGAGCUUUGCAUGUAACUCACAAAUUCCCAACUAUAUGUGUCAUUUGUUGGUCCUUGACCUUCAUUGCGUAAUCACUAAAGUAACCAAAUCCAAUAAAAACAAAAAUGUGACUCUCUCUCUAUGGCUUUCUUACUACACAAAAAUAUCCCUAAUUAAAGCAUGCCACACAUCAUCACAUUGCUAUUAUAUGAAGUAUAUUUCUCAUUGGCAAGUAAUAUACUCUCCUUAGCCCAAGAGGAUAUGAAAUUGGUUGAGUACACUGUUCUAGCCAUUCGAAUCAAUAAGCUCAAGUUUGCAUGGUACAAAACCCUAAAUACUCAGACAUAUGAUAUCCAAUCUUCCACUUUACAAAUCACAUAUGGGUAAAAUAAUAGCUCUAAAGAAAUCGGAAGAAGUAAAGGGCUUUAGAACACAAAUAUACCUGAGGUGCCAAAAUAUGGAGUUGAGGAAACGUUUUCUUCUUAUUUUGAGGGAAGAAGAAUCCAGCUCUGAAUUUGGAUCCAUUUUCUUAACCCCGUGGUUCCUAUAACCCAUAAAUUUUUCUAGUAUCGUUCAAAAUCACAAGUACCCCAGAUGAAUUGAAAAACUGCAGAGAUUAGUCAAAAACACCUGAACAUCACCAUAUUGGCUGUACUAAAUAUAACAGUACCCCAAAUUUAUGGGGCUAUCAAAUUUAUGUAUAUUUUUUAAUGACACUAAAGAUUAAUUCUAAAUUCAUGGUACUAUCAAAUUAAUGUAUAUAGCAUACCUAUAUUAGUAUGAUUCUAAUUUACAUUUGUUUCUUAUCAAAAAAAAAUUAUAACAUAAAUUUCAACAUGUAUGCGUACAAUGCAAAAAUUUUUGUUUCGUAAAUUACAAAUAAUUCACUAAUACUUCAUACAUGGAGUGGCGAACCACUUUAGUUGGGUUAUCUUGGCACAUAUUUGAGUUAGACAGUUGAUAAAGGGAUAGUACUUCUUAUAUAUAUUUGUACCAGCCAACGCCAGCAAAAAAAUUAAUGAGCAAUCUAAAAAGUAGCCAAAAUCGCUUCAGCCAUAUGCAUCAUGAAACACAUUCUAAGCUAUCUGGACAGACUACCUUGAAAUAUUCUCUGAUAUACUGUUGCAAAUAUGCCUCUAUAACAAACACAAAACAUUGAAUUCCAUUACCUUCUUGUUAUUGACCUCUUUCUCAGUCGGAAUCGCCAGACUUCCGAACCAUCAUCCGGGAACUGUGGAGGAAGAGACCGUCGACCACGCCUUCACGCACCUGCGGCCGGAGCUGAAGAGGAGAGUUAGAAUUAUAAUAUAUCAUAUUGACGGAUUCUCAGACACAUUUCAUCGAACACUAGUGUGCCACGUUCUCAUAUGCUUUCUUGUAAGAUUAAUUGAAGAACAAUACUAGUUUUUGAACAAAAUUAACUUCCUGACGAGUAAUUUAACAGAGAAGAAGCAAAAAGAGCGCAAAGAAAAAGCUUAUAUAAAUCAUAAUAUGAUUAAAUGCAGGCUGCACAAAUGUCACUGGAAAAUCACGGGUAGCCGCAAGCUACUUUAUCCUCUAAAAGCCAAACCAAACAAAUCAAAAACAGGACACGCAAAUAAAGAUUUCAUCAAUUUGUUUACUAAAUCCGUUUUUUCUGAUUUCAUUUCGAAUACCCAAAUGAAAAAAAUUAAUUAGAAGCUUUCAACUGAGAGAUUACCUGAAGAGAGGGAAGUUUCAGCAAGCGAGAAUAGAGAUGGAGCCCCCAUCCCUCUAAGCCCUAGCCCCUCACUUGAAUCGCCCACCCACCCUCUGCAAACCCUAGACCCACCCCGUAAUCUCUCUGCAACGGACAGAAAUGGAAGACAAGCCUCUCCUUUACAAAUUAUCCAUUGAAGAUCCAUCUCAGCCAUAUCAAAUUAUCCGUUGUAAUACUAAGAGCAGAAGCCACAGACGCCAAAAAACCCUCAAAUCUUCAAACCCAAUUCAAUCCCAAUGAUUUUAUUUCAGUCCCACUCAACACUUCUCUCGACACUUAGCUCAAUCGCCUCUAGAAGUUCGUUCCUUUUCCCAAUUCAAGGGUCCAACUUCUUCUCCUUCUUCUUCCUCCUUGUCUCCCUCCUAUUUUUGUAUGGUUUUGAAGCCCCAACAAAAAGUUUGUCUUCAGUCAGUGGCUAAGUCAGGAAUCGUUGGGGGAAGGAGUGAAAUCUAUAAGGGUAAAAGAUCCAAAAAAAUGUAGACAACCAACUCCUAAACAUCAAGCUAAUCAUUCUAAUGAUGUGUUACAAAUCCGUAAUCGGGUAAUACUGCAAUUAGUACAUCUCAAACACAAAUACUGACAACCCCCAAUCAAAAGAACAAUACCGUGAAAAACAUGAUAAGAAGAGAGACAACGUAAGACUAAAUUCAUUAGACUGAAAAUGGUACUUGGAGACUGAAAGAAUAGAGGGAAUGCAUGCAAAAUCAGGAGGUGAAUUCUUAUGAAAUGCAAAAAUGCAAACCCAGCAACCAUUGACAUGCCCUUGGAGCACUUGGGAAGCUGGAAAUUUCAUCAAUCUCAUAAGCAGCUCAGUUGUCAGCUCCACAUACAACCCAUUUUCUAUGAACACAAACUCCCUCUCAACUUUAUUUCUCUUCCCCUCAUCCAAUCCGUACACAUGCAAGCUCCUAAUAAACUCACCAUGGUUGAUGGUGUUCUUGAAGACCAGGAGAGAUCUCAGCAAAUGAACAAAAUACACUCCAUUUGUCCCAAAAUCACUCAUAAAACUUCACAUUAUUACAUAAAUAUCAUGGCCUUUGCAAUCCAUAAAAAAUUAAAAUAAAGAAUAGGAAUAAAUUCAAAGAACCCCACAUUACACUAGGAAGUAGUGUAGUACAGUGUUUGGAUACAUGGAAAAAUGAGAAGGAAAAUGCAAGGCCAGAUGCUUUUUCAUCCUCGCACAAACCUAAUCAUCACACAAACCUAAUCAGAUCAUCAGUUACCCACAUAGGCUGCUAUUUCUUCACUUUAAAGAUUCUAUGUUCUUGCUCAGCUCCUCCAGCUUCUUCAUCCUCGUCUUCUCAUUUUGGCUCACCAGCUGCAUCAAAUGUAACACGACAACAAAACAAUCUCAAAACAUUGAAUUAUAUAAGCACUUUGUACGCUUUUACUGAAUCAAAAUAUAAUGAGUGAUAACUAGCAUCGGUUGAGAGUUUGGACGGGUUGAACUCCUAACCGGAGGUAAGCCCAAAUUUUGUAGGAUUGGUUUUGUCAAAGCAGGCUCAACCGUGCUCACUCUAACUCCGAACUGGCCAGACUGGUUCAAGUUCAACCCAUCCAUGAAAUUGCAACCCUAGCUAUGCCAAGUAAAAAAUUGUUUAACAAACUAACCUCCAUUAGCUUUGUGAUAAGCUCCACAUUUUCUCUGUUCUUUUCAUUGAAAGCCUCAAGUGCAUCUCUGUAUUCCUUUUCCUGUGACAAGUUACAAACCCGAAAUUCAUCACAAACACACACGAAUUGAUCCAUAAUUGCAUAUGCAUAGCAGUAAACAUUGACAUCAGCAAAAUCCAGGUUGUGUUACCUUCUUCUGGCAGGUAUGUCCUAGUGGCUUUAACUCUGUUAAUCGCAUAGAUCUUUCUUACGAACUAGUGAAACAUCCUUCCUCAUUGGACCUGAGAGCCCUUCAAGCUCCUGGAAGUUCCAUAAUUUACGACAAAAGGGAAAUUAAUCAUCUAAUAAUUGCUAGCAAAUGAUCCAACGAUUAUACAGAAGAAAAUUUGAGGGUUUUGAGAAAGAAGAGAAUCUGUUUUUUGCCGUAUCAAAAAGUUUAAACUUUGUUGUUGAAAUUUGUCGGCUAAAUUCCAUAUUUUGUUGUGUACAGAACCCCAGAUUUACUCUGUUAGAUGAGACAAACAAAUAAUUAUCCAGCAGUACAAAAUUAUUAGCAUCCGACCAUAUGCUGCUAGACAAUUGUUUCACUAACAAAAAUUCAUAAAUUAUUGACAAAAAAUUCUUACAAAAUCGAUAUUAUAUUACAUUUGAAUAUGAAUGAGGAUAAAUGGUUGACACUCAUAAAUGUGUUCACUUAUCCAUAAUAAAAUUUAAAAGGAUGAAAAAAUAACAACAAAACACAGAACACAGGCACCUUACCCCAAUGCCUCAUGAGUACAAAUGCAUUCUAAAUUUGAACCUGACUAAAAGUUGAUAAAAGGAUAGUACUUCUUAUAUGUAUUUGUACCAGCCAAGGCCAGCAAAAAAUUAAUGAGCAAUCCAAAAAGUAGCCAAAACCGCUUCAGCCUUACGCAUCAUGAAACACAUUCUAAGCUAUCUGGACAGACUAUCUAUAAAUAUUCUCUGAUAUACUGUUGCAAAUAUGCCUCUAUAACAAACACAAAACAUUGAAUUCCGUUACCUUGUUGCUAUUGACCUCUCUCUCAGUCGGAAUCGCCAGAGGUUCAGAACCGUCUUCCGGAACUGUGAAGGAAGAGACCGUCGACCAGUACCACGUCGCCUUCACGCACCUGCGUCGGAGCUGAAGAGGAGAGUCAGAAUUAUAAUAUAUCAUAUUGACGGAUUCCCAGAUACAUUUCAUCUAACACCUAGUCUGCCACGUUCUCGUAUGCUUUCUUGUAAGAUUAAUUGAAGAACAGUACUAAGUUUUUGAACAAAAUUAACUUCUAGAUGAGUAAUUUAACAGAAAAGAAGCAACAAAAAAACCCAGAAAUCUUUUAAUUGAAGAACAAUACUUGGUCUUUGAACAAAAUUGAAUUCCAGAUGAGUAAUUUAACAGAGAAGAAGCAAAAAGAAACCCAGAAAUCUUUAAAAAAUUGUCUAUAAAAAAUGAAAUUACCUUGAACGGAGCUCGCUGCAAACAACACAACCACUCAUUAAUACGUUCAACCCCAUUUGCACAUAAACAAUUAGAAAGAUGUGAAAAAAGAAAGCAAACAAAAAGCUUAUAUAAAUCAUCAUAUGAUUAAAUGCAGGCACAAAUGUCACUGGAAAAUCAAGGGUAGCACCAACCAACAACAACAAAGCCUUUUCCCACUAAGUGGGGUCGGCUAUAUGAAUCCUAGAACGCCAUUGCGCUCGGUUUUGUGUCAUGUCCUCCGUUAGAUCCAAGUACUCUAAGUCUUUUCUUAGAGUCUCUUCCAAAGUUUUCCUAGGUCUUCCUCUACCCCUUUGGCCCUGAACCUCUGUCCCGUAGUCACAUCUUCGAACCGGAGCGUCAGUCGGCCUUCUUUGCACAUGUCCAAAUCAUCGGAGCCGAUUUUCUCUCAUCUUUCCUACAAUUUCGGCUACUCCUACUUUACCUCGGAUAUCCUCAUUCCCAAUCUUAUCAUUUCUCGUGUGCCCACACAUCCCACGAAGCAUCCUCAUCUCCGCUACACCCAUUUUGUGUACGUGUUGAUGCUUCACCGCCCAACAUUCUGUGCCAUACAACAUCGCUGGCCUUAUUGCCGUCCUAUAAAAUUUUUCCUUGAGCUUCAGUGGCCUACGACGGUCACACAACACGCCCGGAUGCACUCUUACACUUCAUCCAUCCAGCUCGUAUUCUAUGGUUGAGAUCUCCAUCUAAUUCUCCGUUCUCUUGCAAGAUAGAUCCUAGGUAGCGAAAACGGUCGCUUUUUGUGAUCUUCGCUAGAUUGCUCCGGUCAUUAGUGUGGAUAAGUAUAUAAAUGGAUAGAGAUAGGAAAGCAAACACAAGAUGUACGUGGUUCACCCAGAUUGGCUACGUCCACGGAAUAGAAGAGUUCUCAUUAAUUGUGAAGGGUUUACACAAGUACAUAGGUUCAAGCUCUCUCCUUUAGUGAGUACAAGUGAAUGAUUUAGUACAAAUGACAUUAGGAAAUAUUGUGGGAGAAUGAUCUCGUAAUCACGAAACUUCUAAGUAUCGGAGUGUGGUGUCGUCUUGACUUGCCUUAUCUGUCUCAUAGGUAGAUGUGGCAUCUUCUCUGGAAGUACUCUUCCUCCAUCCAGGGGUGGUAUCUUUAACUGGUGGAGAUGCACAAGGUAAUGUAUCAAUUUCACUUGAAGCUUACUUGUAGUCUCAGGCUUGGUCAAGCGCGAUACAAACCAUGUAGUAGGAGUCCCCCAAGUCGCCGAGCUAGGGGGUCUGCUGAAAGAGGUGACAGACAAGGUAAGCAAUCAGAGCUCCGACUGAUUGUUCACCUUCUCCCCAUCUUGCAGCAGCAUGAAGGAUAAAGAGAAGAAAAAUGAGAAGAGAUGAUAUGAGAUACUUUUGCUUUUGAAGAAGUAACUUUCCACAGGCUUAUUCUUGAACUGAGCUGGAGGGUUUUCUGGUUUCCUCCAGAGUAUAAGGCCGACUGAAGAAUUUGAGGGUCAAAACAAGUCCAUCAAAUCUAGAGUACGUUCCACCCUGCUGAUAUGGGAUACUUUUGCUUUUGACAGAGUAAUGGGUGUAUCGGCACGUGUGCUGUUACGCUUGUCUCCACAUGCUUCCUUGUAUCCUUCGCACUUGCCCUAUCUGUUCCUCAAGCAGAUGCGGAAUCUUCCCUGGAAACAUAAGAUGUUGAAGAUGAGUACUCGAGAGCAAUGCCAGGUAAGUAAUCAGGUAAGGGGUUCCAGGCAGUCAGUUUCCUGGCUGGAAGCUUGAUCCAAGUGCUGACUGAUUGCUCUCUUUCUCCUUGUCUUUGCAGGUAAAAACAAGGCCAAAGGAAAAGACAGGGAAAAAGCAUGAUAUGGGAUACUCUUGCUUUUAACCCUGAUGAUAUGAGAUAUUCUUGCUCUAGUAUAGCUUGUUUGCAGAGGUAUUAUCGGGGGGAAAGAAAGCUGAAUAUUUCGAAAGGCUUCGUUGGGAGUGCCCUCUCAGAUAUGAUGAAAGGUUGAGCAUUUUUGCAGGUCUGCCUGUCCGUUGGGGAUGGAGGUCGACAUAUAUAGGAGUCUCCCUAACAACAAGUAGUAAUGCUAUUCCUUUACCCUGCUUGGUCAUAGCACGGUAGUGGGAGCUGCCAGUUUCACAUGUUUUAACUCUGUCAGAGCACUUUGAAAAAGUGGUCUGUGGUAUCUGGCUCUCGAGAUUCGGAGAACGAUGCCUUUUCGAUUUUUGAGAAAGCAAUCAUGCUGGGGGUCUGGCUCUCGAGAUUCGUAGAGCAGUGUCUCUUCGAUUUUUGAGGAAGUAAUCAUGUUGGGAGUCUGGCUCUCGAGAUUCGGAGGGCGGUGCCUCUUCGAUUUUGGAGCAAGCAAUCCUGUUGGGAGUGUUGUCUCGAAUGUGAGUAAAGGUUGGGCAUGUUUGCUAGUCUACCUUGCCACGAAGCACAAAGGUUGACACACAGAGACUUUCCAAUUAUCCAGCAAUGGUACUGUUCCUUUACCCUCUCUUCGCUUUUGAGAAAGUAGUCAUGUUGGGAGUCUGGCUCUCGAGAUUCGGAGGACGGUGCCUCUUCGAUUUUGGAGCAAGCAAUCUUGUUGGGAGUGUUUUCUCGAAAGUGAGUAAAGGUUGGGCAUGUUUGCUAGUCUACCUUGCCACGAAGCACAGAGGUUGACACACAGGGACUUUCCAAUUAUCCAGCAGUGGUACUGUUCCUUUACCCUUGUGGGUAAUAAUAUGGUAGCUAGACCUUCAAAAUUUAUGUGUCUAAACUUUGUUAGUGCUGUUUCUUUGCUAUUCUUUUACCUUUCUUGGUCAGAGCGAUGUAGUGGGAGCUGCAAGCUUCACGUGCUCAACUUUGGCAGAGAACUUUGGCAAAGUUAUCUGUGGUACCCAUGAGCUAUUGUUGCGUGUGGGAAGUGGGUGAUUGAACAGUAAGAUUCAUGUGCUUUCUACUUCACCAGAAGUCUUCGACAGAAUGCCCAUAAUUUCUGCAAAGCUGAGUGUGCGUGUGACAGGUGCUGACAAGGCUAGAAAAGUAGGUGCCUCUUCGAUUUCUGAGAUCGGCCCUCGUGGUCUCUGAGCAGCCCAGCUUUUGAGAAAGCGAGCGCCUCUUCGAUUGAUUCGGAGAACGAUGCCUCAUCGAUUUUUGAGAAAGCAAUCAUGCUGGGGGUCUGGCUCUCGAGGAUUCGGGGAGCAGUGUCUCUUCGAUUUUUGAGAAAGUAAUCACGUUGGGAGUCUGGCUCUCGAGAUUCGGAGGGCGGUGCCUCUUCGAUUUUGGAGCAAGCAAUCUUGUUGGAAGUGUUUUCUCGAAUGUGAGUAAAGGUUGGGCAUGUUUGCUAGUCUACCUUGCCACGAAGCACAGAGGUUGACACACAGGGACUUUCCAAUUAUCCAGCAAUGGUACUGUUCCUUUACCCUCUCUUCGAUUUUUAAGAAAGUAGUCAUGUUGGGAGUCUGGCUCUCGAGAUUCGGAGGACGGUGCCUCUUCGAUUUUGGAGCAAGCAAUCUUAUUGGGAGUGUUUUCUCGAAUGUGAGUAAAGGUUGGGCAUGUUUGCUAGUCUACCUUGCCACGAAGCACAGAGGUUGACACACAGGGACUUUCCAAUUAUCCAGCAAUAGUACUGUUCCUUUACCCUUGUGGGUAAUAAUAUGGUAGCUAGACCUUCAAAAUUUAUGGGUCUAAACUUUGUUAGUGCUGUUUCUUUUUGCUAUUCUUUUACCCUUCUUGGUCAGAGCGAUGUAGUGGGAGCUGCAAGCUUCACGUGCUCAACUUUGGCAGAGAACUUUGGCAAAGUUAUCUGUGGUACCCAUGAGCUAUUGUUGCGUGUGGGAAGUGGGUGAUUGAACAGUAAGAUUCAUGUGUGUUUUCUACUUCCCCAGAAGUCUUCGACAGAAUGCCCAUAAUUUCUGCAAAGCUGAGUGUGCGUGUGACGGGUGCUGACAAGGCUGGAAAAGUAGGUGCCUCUUCGAUUUCUGAGAUCGGCCCUCGUGGUCUCUGGGGAGCCCAGCUUUUGAGAAAGCGAGCGCCUCUUCGAUUUCUGAGAUCGGCCUUCGUGGUCUUUGAGAAGCCCAACUUUUGAGAAAGCAAACGCCUCUUCGAUUUCUGAGAUCAACCCUCGUGAUCUCUAAGCAGCCCAGCUUUUGAGAAAGCAAACGCCUCUUCGAUUUCUGAGCAGGCGCCUCUUCGAUUUCCGAAGCUCCGUCGAGUGCAGAUUUUUAUAGAGGCUGACAUUAAGUUCCAAAGCACACUUGAAUCUCCACCAGUAGAAGCUUCAUUCUUGCACUUCUAAGAUCUUGAUUUGUCCGACCUCUUCUCUCUUCAACACCUUUGAAAAUGUCUGGCCCCUCCGACCGUCGUUUUGACUUGAACCUUGUUGAAGAGGCAGCCCCGCCUUCUCCAGACAACAUAUGGCGCCCAUCCUUCGUCUCCCCUACUGGUCCUCUUACCGUUGGGGAUUCCGUGAUGAAGAAUGAUAUGACCGCUGCGGUGGUGGCCAGGAACCUUCUCACUCCCAAAGAUAACAGACUACUUUCCAAACGGUCUGAUGAGUUAGCUGUUAAGGAUUCGUUGGCUCUCAGUGUUCAGUGUGCAGGUUCUGUGUCUAAUAUGGCCCAACGCCUAUUUGCUCGAACCCGCCAAGUUGAAUCCUUGGCGGCUGAAGUGAUGAGUCUCAAACAGGAGAUUAGAGGGCUCAAGCAUGAGAAUAAACAGUUGCACCGGCUCGCACAUGACUAUGCUACAAACAUGAAGAGGAAGCUUGACCAGAUGAAGGAAACUGAUGGUCAGGUUUUACUUGAUCAUCAGAGAUUUGUGGGUUUGUUCCAAAGGCAUUUAUUGCCUUCGUCUUCUGGGGCUGUACCGCGUAAUGAAGCUCCGAAUGAUCAACCUCUGAUGCCUCCUCCUUCUAGGGUUCUGUCCAGUACUGAGGCUCCAAAUGAUCCCCCUUCGGUGCCUUCUCUUUCUGGGGCUCUACCGACUGCUGAGACUUCUCCUAAGCAACCUUUGUGAAGGCUCCGUCUUGUGUGUUUAUUUUGACUCAUGUAUAUGUACAUAUUUGUAGCUGAUCGGGGAUAUCAAUAAAUAAGCUUUCCUUCAUUUCAACGUAUUGUGUUAAAUACACCAAAGCCUUCUUCGCUAAGUUCUUUGAAUUUUCUUUUGUUGAAGCUUGUAUGUUGAAGCUUUCUGAGUGGAGCAUGUAGGUUGGGGUAGUGUUCCCUUAAUUUCCCGAGUGAGGAAAACUUCUCGAUUGGAGACUUGGAAAAUCCAAGUCACUGAGUGGGAUCGGCUAUAUGAAUCUUAGAACGCCAUUGUGCUCGAUCCUGUGUCAUGUCCUCCGUUAGAUCCAAGUACUCUAAGUCUUUUCUUAGAGUCUCUUCCAAAGUUUUCCUAGGUCUUCCUCUACCCCUUCGGCCCUGAACCUCUGUCCCAUAGUCGCAUCUUCUAAUCGGAGCGUCAGUAGGCCUUCUUUGCACAUGUCCAAACCACCGUAACCGAUUUUCUCUCAUCUUUCCUUCAAUUUCGGCUACUCCUACUUUACCCCGGAUAUCCUCAUUCCUAAUCUGAUCCUUUCUCGUGUGCCCACACAUCCAACGAAGCAUCCUCAUCUCCGCUACACCCAUUUUGUGUACGUGUUGAUGUUUCACCGCCCAACAUUCUGUGCCAUACAGCAUCGCCGGCCUUAUUGCCGUCCUAUAAAAUUUUCCCUUGAGCUUCAAUGGCAUACGGCGGUCACACAACACACCGGAUGCACUCUUCCACUUCAUCCAUCCAGCUUGUAUUCUAUGGUUGAGAUCUCCAUCUAAUUCUCCGUUCUUUUGCAAGAUAGAUCCUAGGUAACGAAAACGGUCGCUUUUUGGUAUUUCUUGAUCUCCGAUCCUCACCCCUAACUCGUUUUGGCCUCCAUUUGCACUGAACUUGCACUCCAUAUAUUCUGUCUUUGAUCGGCUUAGGCGAAGACCUUUAGAUUCCAACACUUCUCUCCAAAGGUUAAGCUUUGCAUUUACCCCUUCCUGAGUUUCAUCUAUCAACACUAUAUCGUCUGCGAAAAGCAUACACCAAGGAAUAUCAUCUUGAAUAUGUCCUGUUAACUCAUCCAUUACCAACGCAAAAAGGUAAGGACUUAAGGAUGAGCCUUGAUGUAAUCCUACAGUUAUGGGGAAGCUUUCGGUUUGUCCUUCAUGAGUUCUUACGGCAGUCUUUGCUCCUUCAUACAUAUCCUUUAUAGCUUGGAUAUAUGCUACUCGUACUCCUUUCUUCUCUAAAAUCCUCCAAAGAAUGUCUCUUGGGACCCUAUCAUACGCUUUUUCCAAAUCUAUAAAGACCAUGUGUAAAUCCUUUUUCCCAUCUCUAUAUCUUUCCAUCAAUCUUCGUAAGAGAUAGAUUGCCUCCAUGGUUGAGCGCCCUGACAUGAACCCGAAUUGGUUGUCCGAAACCCGUGUCUCUUGCCUCAAUCUAUGCUCAAUGACUCUCUCCCAGAGCUUCAUUGUAUGACUCAUUAGCUUAAUACCCCUAUAGUUCAUGCAAUUUUGUACGUCGCCCUUGUUCUUGUAGAUAGGCACCAAAGUGCUCGUUCGCCACUCAUUUGGCAUCUUCUUCGUUUUCAAAAUCCUAUUGAAAAGGUCAGUGAGCCAUGUUAUACCUGUCUUUCCCAAAAGUUUCCACACUUCGAUUGGUAUAUUGUCUGGGCCUAUUGCUUUUUUAUGCUUCAUCUUCUUCAAAGCUACAACCACUUCUUCCUUCCGGAUUCGACGAUAAAAAGAGUAGUUUCUACACUCUUCUGAGUUACUCAACUCCCCUAAAGAAUCGCUCAUUUCAUGUCCUUCAUUGAAAAGAUUAUGAAAAUAACCUCUCCAUCUGUCUUUAACCGCGUUCUCUGUAGCAAGAACCUUUCCAUCCUCAUCCUUGAUGCACCUCACUUGGUUUUAGAUCCCUUGUCUUCUUUUCCCUUGCUCUAGAUAGUUUAUAGAUAUCCAACUCUCCUUCUUUGGUAUCUAGUCGUUUAUACAUAUCGUCGUAGGCCGCUAACUUAGCUUCUCUGACUGACAGCUUUUUUCGCCUCUUGCUUCGCUUUUCUAUACUUUUCACCAUUUUCAUCGGUCCUCUCCUUGUAUAAGGCUUUACAACAUUCCUUCUUAGCCUUCACCUUUGUUUGUACCUCCUCAUUCCACCACCAAGAUUCCUUUUGGUGUGGGGCAAAGCCCUUGGACUCUCCUAAUACCCUCUUUUGCUACUUUUCGGAUACAACUAGCCAUGGAAUCCCACAUUUGGCUAGCUUCCCCCUCUCUAUCCCACACACAUUGGGUGAUUACCUUCUCUUUGAAAAUGACUUGUUUUUCUUCUUUUAGAUUCCACCAUCUAGUCCUUGGGCACUUCCAAGUCUUGUUCUUUUGUCUUACUCUUUUGAUAUGUACAUCCAUCACCAACAAGCGAUGUUGAUUAGCCACGCUCUCUCCUGGUAUAACUUUGCAAUCCUUACAAGUUAUACGAUCCCCUUUCCUCAUUAGAAGAAAAUCUAUUUGUGUUUUUGACGACCCACUCUUGUAGGUGAUCACAUGUUCUUCUCUCUUCUUAAAGAAGGUGUUGGCUAAGAAGAGAUCAUAUGCCAUUGCAAAAUCCAAGAUAGCUUCCCCAUCCUCGUUUCUCUCCCCAAAACCAUGGCCACCAUGAAAACCUCCAUAGUUGCCUGUCUCCCUGCCCACGUGUCCAUUUAAAUCUCCUCCUAUAAAUAACUUCUCCGUCUGAGCAAUUCCUUGCACCAAGUCUCCAAGAUCUUCCCAAAAUUUCUCCUUCGAACUCGUAUCCAACCCUACUUGAGGUGCGUACGCACUAAUCACAUUGAUAAGUUCUUGUCCUAUUACAAUCUUGAUUGCCAUGAUUCUAUCUCCUACCCUCUUGACAUCUACAACAUCUUGUACCAAGGUCUUGUCCACGAUGAUGCCAACACCGUUUCUCGUUCUAUUUGUGCCCGAAUACCAAAGUUUAAACCCUGAGUUUUCUAGAUCCUUUGCCUUACUACCAACCCACUUAGUUUCUUGUAGGCACAUAAUAUUUAUCCUUCUCCUCACCAUAACUUCCACUAUUUCCAUAGAUUUUCCCGUUAAGGUUCCUAUAUAUUCCACGUUCCUAAACGCAUUUUGCUCUCUUGAACUCUACCCUUCUGUCCUAGUUUCUUCACCCUCCCCCGUCUAAUAGGAUCAAAGUACUUCUUUUGUGUGUCCCGGGUAAAAUUGAUAGGAGCAUAUGCUCCCAAACAACUUUGAGUGGAGUCGUUCGAAAAGAAGUUUCUAUGGCCCCCUUGCUCAUUUAACACUGCAUCCGGGUGCCGAUGGAGAUGCAGCGACCCUUGCUCACUUAUCACUGUGCUCAGGCCACACAGCGCGCCACUUACGGGUGACGCCCUAGCUUUAGCGCGAUUUUGUUCUGGAUUCAUUUUCAUAAGGAUUCGACGUGAUCAUGGAGUGCCGGCUGUCGACUACCUGACGCCCUCCCCCUCCUCCUUUAUCCGGGCUUGGGACCGGCCAUGUAAGACAUAGGCGGAGUUAAGGGUAGCACCAACCAAACAAAUAAAAAACAGGACACGCAAAUAAAAAUUUCAUCAAUUUGUUUACUAAAUCUGUUUUUCUGAUUUCAUUUCGAAUUCACUGGGAAAAAAAAUACAUAAAUCCAAAGAAAAAAAAACCCAAAUGAAAAAAAUUAAAUUAAUUAGAAGCUUUCACGCACCUGGGACCGGAGCUGAAGAGGAGAGUCAGAAUUAUAAUAUAUCAUAUUGACGGAUUCUUAGACACAUUUCAUCGAACACCUAGUGUGCCACGUUCUCAUAUGCUUUCUUGUAAGAUUAAUUGAAGAACAAUACUUAGUUUUGAACUAAAUUAACAUCCAGAUGAGUAAUUUAACAGAAAAGAAGCAACAAAAAAAACCCAGAAAUCUUAAUUGAAGAACAAUACUUGGUCUUUGAACAAAAUUGAAUUCCAGAUGAGUAAUUUAACAGAGAAGAAGUAAAAAGAAACCCACAAAUGUUGAAAAAAAUGUCUAUAAGAAGUGAAACUACCUUGAACGGAGCUCGCUGUAAACAACACCACCACUGAUUAAUACGUACAACCCCAUUUGCACAUAAAUCAUCAUAUAAUUAAAUGCAGCAAGCUGCUUUAUUCUCCAAAAGCCAAACCAAACAAAUAAAAAACAGGACACGCAAAUAAAAUUUCAUCAAUUUGUUUACUAAAUCCGUUUUUCUGAUUUCAUUUCGAAUUCACUGGGGCAAAAAAAUACAUAAAUCCAUAGAACAAAAAUACCCAAAUGAGAAAAAUUAAUUAGAAGCAUUCAACAGAGAGAUUACCUGAAGAGCGGAAAGUUUCAGCAAGCGAGAAUAGAGAUGAAGCCAACAUCCCUCUAGCCCUAGCCCCUCACUUGAAUCGCCCACCCACCCUCAGUGCAAACCCUAGACCCACCCCCUAAUCUCUCUCUGCAACAGACGCUAAAAACCCCUCAAAUCUUCAAACCCAAUUCAAUCGCCUCUAGAAGUUCGUUCCUUUUCCCAAUUCAAGGGUUCAACUUCUUCUCCUUCUUCUUCCUCCUUGUCUCCCUCCUAUUUUUGUAUGGUUUUGCAGCAUCGACAGAAAUGGCAGAAAAGCCUCUCCGUUACCCCCAUACUUCUCCCAUCUCUCUCUCGGCAAGGGACAGGAACCCAGAAGACGCCAUCCAAAUCUCCCACCUCUCUAUCUGCAAGGAACAGGAAUCCCAGAAAACCCUCGACGAUAUCGAACCACCAAUUCUUCCUCCUUGUCUCCCUCCCAUUUUUGCAUGGUUUUCGCAGCAUCGACAAGGCGGAGGAGGUGGACUACCACUGGCCGAGUUCGACGACAUUCAAGUGUAAAAGAGAAGAAUACAUACAUGUGCUAAUCUAGUUCAUAAUGUUAUUUUGUUAAAUUGCAGCAUUACAUAGAUAGCCGUUGCAUAUAUAUUUUGCAAGUACCAAAUUAAAUGGAUAGCCGUUACAUAAUUGUUUGUGGGAACAUUUACUGGAAGAUUCUUUUAUUUAAUACAUAAAUUGCAAGUAACAAAACACAAAGUAGAAAGGGAAAAACAUCACAUUAUAUAUUAGUACAAUAAAACUUCAGAAUAAAAACCUUUUGAAACGAGUCACUUUCAAUGUAAUUGCUAAUACUACCUUAUCUUUGAUGUCAUCGAUGAAUUGAAAAUAGGCACACCUCCACGAUGUCUUUAAGAUUAAUGUGCCGCAAAUGCCCCAAAAGCCUAUGAUAAAGCCAAGUGCCACAUUGACAUAGAGCCACAAGUUAUCCUUUCCAUCUCCAUUCUUGUCCUUUGCAUCCUUAGCAGUAAAAGUGUCAUCUUCAGGGCACUUAGUUGAGAGAGGAAUGCCACAUAGCCAUAGAUUGCCCACAUAAAUAGAUGAAAAAUUGAGGGCUUGAAGCUGGUUUCCAGAAGGAAUUCUGCCAGACAAGUUGUUGUAAGACAAGUCCAAAUGGGACAAAAAGGUUAAAGAUGACAAGCUUUGAGGAAUCUGUCCCGAAAGUUGAUUGUGUGAGAGAUCAAGAGUUUCGAGCCAUCGCAAGUUUCCAACCUUGGAAGGGAUCUUUCCAGUUAAUUGAUUCAUGGACAAAUUCAAGGUGCCCAACAUAAUGAGGCUGCUUAUUUCUUCAGGGAUUUCACCUUGUAAAUUAUUUGAUGAAAGAUCAAUGCUCUUUACAAGAUAUAGAGUUGUGUUGUACACAAGUUCUUCUCCUUUUAGUGUUAGUGUGGCUUGAUCAAACUCAUCAUAGUAGUUUCCAUAAGAAUCAUCAUUGACUAGCGAAGUUAAGUUAUCCAAACACAUGGGAAUAGUACCUGAAAGGCUGUUGUGACUAAGGUCAAGGAUGACAAGGCGAUGAAGAUUGAACAGUUGCUGAGAAAUAUGUCCACUAAAAUAGUUGGACCGUAAUCGUAGCCUAGACAACAUAGAUACGUUUGACCCUCCUAUCCAUAUAGGUAUUUUCCCAGAUAACUUGUUGUCUCCAAGAUCAAUACUCCUCAAACUCGAACAAUUUUGCAAGGCAUUAGGAAUUUCACCGCCAAAAUUGUUGUCGUUGAGCUUUAAUAUUUCUAGGGAAUGUAGUCCCCCCAAUGAAGUGGGAAUCUUACCAGAGAGAUUGUUUUGACCAACAUCUAGAAAGAUCAUAUAGCUCUCUACUCUCCAUGCAUGAGGGAAUUCUCCGUAAAAUUGAUUGCUCUUUAGAGACAGUAUUUGCAAGUUCUGGAUGUUACAAAUUGAGGGAGGAAUAAUGCCAUUCAAAUGAUUCUCAUCAAGUAACAAUUCUUGCAAUUUGGGCAUCAUUUGGUCAAUAUUUGAGGAGAUUGGCCCGGAAAAUAAAUUACUUUCGAGACAAAGGGAACUGACAUUAGGGAAGCACCAAAGUGGGAGUGGGCCCUCCAACUGAUUAUGACUCAAAUCAAUAAACGUCAAAUUUGGACAUUUCAAAUAGGAUGGAAAAUUUCCACGAAAUUGGUUGUAAGACAAGUCUAGUAGGGUGAGUUGGGAAGAUAUCUUCAACAACCAUUCAUCUGGUAUGGAAUCUGAGAUUCCAUUACCACGAAGGAUAACAUCAAACAGUUCAGUUUGAGUUUGAAGCCAUACCCAAAAACCAGAACUUACACCACAAUUUAUGAUCCGAAUUGUGUGGAGCUUGAAAGGAGGAACCCUGUCAUAAGCCCCGUCGAAAAUGAGGGAAAUGGGCCGAUCUAUAUUUCCUACUUCAAAAUCUUGUAAUCUGGUAAAAUUUAUGAAAUGGGCUUCCGUUAGAAUGCCUUCCCAUGAAUUACCAAGCAGACGUAGGGAAACUAGCUCAUAGAGUUGUCCAAUACUUUCUGGAAUUGAGCCGUUCAUAUUAUUAUAAGUCAGGUCUAGUGUUCUCAAGGAUGACAAGUUUCCGAUAGAAUCUGGAAUUGAGCCCCACAAAUUGUUUCCUCCAAGGUUGAGAUUCUGUAAACUUCGAAACAUUCCUAAAAAGGUCGGCAAUUGGCUUUCAAGCUCGCAAUAAGACAAAUCUAGUGACUCUAAUGUAUUACUUGGACAAUUUGAGAGACUCAUCCAAAACUCUUCAAUCGCCCCAUCAAAGUUGUUCCCUGAAAGACUUAAGACCUUUAGUUUGCAGAAAUUUCCACUCACUUUAGGAAUUUGACCUUUUAAGCCUGUUCCAGAUAAAUCAAGGUUUUCCAAAGAUUUGAAGUUUGAAAAUUCACUUGGAAAAUGAUCCCUGAAAUCAUUCCCGGAUAGAUCAAGUGUUUUGAGGUUGGUAAGAUUAAGAAACCAACUGGGAAAUGAAAAACUUUUAAUGCCAUUAUCCGACAUAUCAAGGACCAAAAGUGAUGUCAAGUUAAUCCUCUGCAGUGAGAGUGGAAGGAAGUUAAUGCUCUGUAGUGAGAGUGGAAUGCUUUCAAUUUGGCACGAAGAUAAAUGCAACUCUAACAAUGAAGGGAGCAUGAUAAUAUCAUACGCCCAACUGACUCCUGUGCUCUUAAGGUUAACGCCAUUGAGAUUAAUGUAUUUCAGGGAAGAGAGGUGAGAAAGCCAAUUCAAAUUUUUGGAAGAUAAGUCAUAAUUCCACCCGAGAUCAAGAAAAUUUAGGCUUGACAGGUUACCAAGAGAAGAGGGAAUCUCUCCUCCAAAUGACGCAUAUGAGAGAUUGAGAUAUUGCAAACUUUUAAGCUCCCCAAUGAACUUUGGAAUUUGAUUGCUAUCAAACGAAUUCUGGCUCAAGUCCAAGUAAUUUAAAUGUUUCAAGCUCAACAGAGAAGCAUUUAUCUUACCUUGCAAAUAAGCAUUUUCCCACUCUGCAUCAUUCCGGAGGUCCAUCUUCACGACAUGACUAGUGUUGUUGUUGCAUGAAAUACCUUCCCAUUGACAGCAAUCAUGACCCACCCAAGACGAAAGCCUACCAGAAUCAUCAACAAGAUGUUGUUUAAAGACAAGAAGCGCAUGUCUUUCUUCAUCAAUGCAUGAAUUUGUCUUUACACCGCUUGAAAUUUCAUCACCAGCCAAACAGAAACGGAGUUUAGUAGGACUCUGCAUGCAAGAAGAGACCAAAAGCAAAAGAAGCAAAUAGUGAGCAAUAAUGCGGUGACAAUGGCUAUCCAUUAUGACACACAGUUUUUCUUUGCUUUGUUGGUGAGAUGUUUAGCUACUAAAAUUAGUGCGAUACCGGAAUUUAUAGGAAGAGAUUAUGGAUGUAGGCUGGAGAGCUGAAAACGAAAGCCGUCUGAUAGAGAAAAGAAAAAAGGCUAACUGAAAUGAGUGGCGGUUGUGAUGGGUUGUGGAAAUCCAUAUGCUGCGAAGACUUUGAAUUAAGGGUCUUCAUGUUCCAUCACAAGUCACAACUUAUCAACUUACUUAUGGAAGCCGAUUUGGAUAUGUUGUUAUAUUUUACACCACACAUGCUGGUAGACUGGUAGUCACUACUUGGAUAUUUACAAGUUUGCAAGCCGUGUAGGAGCAGAGAUUAUGAAUGCAUGGAUGAGAUGGCUAGCUACCUGUGGAAGUCUUUGCACACCGAUUAGUCUUUGGUGGAAAAUCCAUAUGUCUAGCCGUGGAAAUUCAAAAAUCAUAAUUGAUGAAAGGGAUUGGUAGAGAGAAGAGAGUGGCAAUUGGCAAUGCAAGUGAGAAUGAUAGAAUAUUUGCGGUAUUUUUCUGUCUUUUUUUUUUUAAAUACUAGUGAUAUUCUAAACUAAUUCAUCUAUUAAUUUGUUCACUGAUUCACAUGCAUUUAAGAAAUUGCAAGAGGGAUAGACAGAGACUGAAGCCCUAAUCCAUGACUCUGUUAACACUUUUUAGGGUUCUUACCGUUUAGCCCAACUAGAGGAAUGGAUGUGAUUUGUUCCAUUUUCCUCACUAUUUGCGUAUAUACCAAGAAUCGUUCCUUAAAUCCUAAGAAUGGCAUAAUAUGUUCGCUCAAUCAAAGGGAAGCAGCACUUAAACCUUGGUUCUUUCACUUGGUUUUGAGCUUGGUUGUGAGGACGGUGGUGCGCCGGAGAGAUACAAAGAGAGGCAUGGUCGCCUACGUCACUUUAAUUCCCAAACAAAAACACUUUCUUUAUAUUUUGCUUAUGUCCUUCUAUGUAAUUUUGCAAUAGAAUAAACUUGUCACCAAAACUUUCGUAAAAAAGUGGGUGAAAAAAUUAGACAAUAUAGUGGACAUAAUAACACUCCUUAUUUUUUGGUUUCUGUUUUGGUGUUUGGUGAAGCUGUAUGUUUUGUAGAGCAAUGGCUAACUUAGCGUGUUCAAUCUGCUUGAACUAUGAUAAAGUGGUGACAAAAGUUGAAAAAGUGAUUGUCUUUUCCCCCUCCUCAGAUGCUUCAACGUUUGCUUGUAUUUCGGGGAAGAGGUCAAUGCUUGACUAAAUCUAACCGUUGGGUUAUUUGCAAGAAGCUUCUUUUUGGGGUUUUAUACUACAUCUAUGUACAGAAUGCACCAAUGUUUGAAUAGCUAAAAAUGUUUAAACCCAGUUAUCCGAUACAUCGAUACAAUAUAAAAUUUUCGGCACACCGAUUAUGAAUGCAUGAAUGAGGUGACUAGCUACCUGUGGAAGUCUUUGCACACCGAUUAGUCUUUCAUGGAAAAUCCAUGUCUAGCCGUGGAAAGUCAUAAAUCAUAAUUGAUGAAAGGGAUUGGUAGAGAGAAGAAAGUGGCAAUUGGCAAUGCAAGUGAGGAUGAUAUAAUAUUUGCGGUUUUUUUUUCUUUUCUUUUUUUUAAAUACUAGUGAUAUUCUAAACUAAUUCAUCUAUUAAUUUGUUCAUUAAUUCACAUGCAUUUAUGAAAUUGCGAAAGGGAUAGAUAGAGACUGAAGCCCUAAUCCCUAAUUAUAUUCGCACUUUUUAGGGUUCUUACCAUUUAGCCAGACUAGAGGAAGAGACUUGAUUUGUUUCAUUUUCUCACUAUUUGCGUCUAUACCAAAAAUCAUUCCUUAAAUUCCUAAGAAUGGCACAAUAUGUUUGCUCAAUCAAAGGGAAGCAGCACUUAAACCUUGGGUCUUUCGCUUGGCUUUGAGUUAGGUUGUGACGGUGGUGCGCCAAAGAGAUACAGAGAGGCAAGAUUGUCUACGUCACUUCAGUUCCCAAACAAAAACACUUUCUUUAUAUUUUGCUUAUGUCCUUCUAUGGAAUUUUGCAAUAAAAUAAAUUUGUCACUAAAACUUUCAUUAAAAAUGGGUGAAAAAGUUAAAACAAUAUGGUGGACAUAAUAGCACUCAUUAAUUUUUGGUUUUGUUUAUGGGAGUUUUAACAAAACACUCCCGGUUAGUGAUGAUCAUGGUAUAUCCGUGUACUAGUCUGACUAAAAUUAGUUUUACUCGAGAAUUGUGAUUCCUUCUUACACAUACUAUUCCUAGGAUUACUAGGAUCAUCUUUAUGAAAUAUUAUCCUAAUUAACACCACUUUGGUUUCUUCCUGAUUUAACAUAUGCCAUGUAAACCCUAGUUUUGGACCCUGUUGGAGAAUAAUAAAAGUGGGAAGUGUGAGAAUAUAUUUAGGUUUCCUUGCUCUUAUGGAUUUAGGUUUUGCAUCUGUCAAUUAGGAUUUGCUUUAUUUCCUGUUUUGAAUUUACAAUUUAGUCUUGUUUCUUGUUUUCCUUUAAAUUCCAAAUUCCCUAUGUUGAAAAACCGAUUUAUUGGAAAACGAAAUGAGUGGCGGUUGUUCACAACCACUUUUACAAGUUUGCAAGUCAUUUGUCGACACAGCUGGUACCUGUUUGUGACGGGUUGUAGAAAUCCAUAUACAGCGGAGACUUUGAAUUAAGGAUUUUCAUGUUCCAUCACAAUUCACAACUUAUCAUCUUAUUUACUGUUCUUUGUUCUUAUCUUGUGGUAAAUUACGUAAAUGGAUUUAGAUAUGUUCUUGUAUUUUGCAAGUCCAUCGCCUACACCACACUAGUAGACUGGUAGUCACUACUUGGAUAUGACUUUUGUGUCAUUAUUUACAAAUUUUCUAAACAGUGAAAUGAUUAUUAACAGUCUAAAAUAAUCAUUGUUACACUCAUUGUUUUCAUAUUUGUUUUUCACUAAUAAGGAAUACACGAGAUUUCCUGUGGACUUUUCCAAAUUUUAAUGAAGCCUUGUAGGAGUAGAUAUAGUGAAUGCAUGAAUGAGAUGGCCAGCCGUGGAAAUUCAUAUAUCAUACUUAAUGAAGGGGAUUGGAAGAGACAAAAGAGCGGCGAUUGGCAAUCCAAGUGAGGUUGACUUACUACUUGCGGUAUCAUAUUUUUUUUUUUUAAUACUAGCAAUAUUCUAAACUAAUUCAUCUAUAAAUUUGUUCAUUGAUUCACAUCCAUUUAGGAAACUGCAAGCGAGAUAGAUAGAGACAUAACCCUUAAUCCCUAACUCUAUUUGCAUCUUUUAAGUUUCUUAUCAUUUGACCCGACUGGAGGAAGGGACAUGAUUUGUUCCAUUUUUUCCACUAUUUGCAUCUAUACCAAGAAUCAUUCCUUAAAUUCUAAAAAUGGCAUAAUGUGUUUACUCAAUCAAAGGGAAGCCACACUUAAACCAUGGGUCUUUCGCUUGGUUUUCAGGUCAGUUGUGAGUUCAGUGGUGCACCUGAGACAUACAAAGAGAGGCGGAGUCGCCUACGUCACUUCAGUUCCCAAACAAAAACACUUUCUUUAUAAUUUGCUUAUGUCCUUCUAUAUAAUCUUGCAAUAGAAUAAACUUGUCACUAAAGCUUUCAUUAAAUAGUGGGUGAAAAAUUAGACAACAUAGUGAACAUAAUAGCAUUUGUUACUUUUUGGAUUCUUUUUUGGUGUUGCAAUGGCUAACUUAGCGUGCUCAAUCUGCUUGAAAAAGUGAUGUCAUUUCCCCACCUCAGAUGCUUCAACCCAUGCUUGUACUUCGGGGAAGAGGUCAAUGCUUGACUAAACCCAACUGUUGGGUUAUUUGCAAGAAGCUUCCUUUCAGGGUUUAUACAUCAUCCCUAUACAGGAUGCACCAAUGUUUGAACGGCUGAAUAUGUUUAAACCCGGUUACUCGAUGUAAUCCGAUACAUUGAUAUGGUAUAAAUUUUUUAGCAAUUGCAUUGGGUUUUAAAGAUUGCAAGAGAUUCAAUGAAAUGGUUGUCUUGUAACCCUAGCUUUUCCACUCAAAGUGCAUUUUUAUGAGCAUUACCACCACAUGAAUAGUUGUUGAUGAAUGUGAUCAAAUUUGUCUACUACUUAAAUCUCAAAACCUAAACUAAACCAAUCAUAAUUUAUGUAGUGGUAAUGCUCACGACCACUAAGGAUAGCAAGCAAAAUGCACUCUUCCAUGCAACUAGUAACAUAGUAGAAAGCAAACCAAAGGCUCUUCAUCAAGAAAAAUUAUUGAAACAUACUAGAACACAUCAACAUGUUAUAUUAUGAGUGGACGAUCCAAUUUAUACUUUAGAAUAUAGCAUUAAUAAUCAAUCCACACACUAUAAUAUGAGAGAAUCAAUAGAUCAUGUUCCUGUAUUUCAAUGCACCGCAAUAUCCUUUCUUCUUCCUUUGAAAGACCAUAACAAGUGAUGCCCCAACAGAAUACGUGUUUGUCUUCAGUCAGGGGCGAAGUUAGGAAUUGUCGGGGAAAUGAGCGAAAUUUAAAAGGGUAAAAGGUCCAAAAAAAUUGUAGACAACCAAAUCCUAAAUAUCAAGCUAAUCACUAUAACGAUGUGUUUACAAAUCUGUAUUCGAGUAAUACUGCAAUUAGUACAUCUCAAACAUAAACACAAGCACAAACACAAAUAAUGACAACCCCCAACCAAAAGAACAAUAAUGUGAAAAACAUCAAAAGCAGAGAGACAACAUAAGACUAAAUUCAUUACACUGAAAAUGGUACAUGGAGACUGAAAGAAUAGAGGGAAUGCAUGUAAAAUCCGAAAGUGAAUUCUUAUGAAAUGCUAAAAUGCAAACCCACCACCUCCAUCAGAAGGUUCCCCCUCCCAAAUCUUCCCCAACACAUCCAGCAAAAGCCUCACCUCACCUCCACCUAAAUCCACAUAGUCUGUUCGCUCCUUAAAUUUGCCACGGGCCUUGCGGGCAUGCCGGGAAUUUAUUCAAACAUAAAAUUGGUGGAUGCGAGUGUGCCACUACUAGAUGCCGCUAGUAAACUAGAUAAAAGAUGGCUUUUGUGAGGGCUGAUCCUGAAAAUGAUUGAGGUUGGGGCUGAUUACAGCUUCGUAUGCAAAUCUGGCUUGAGCAGAGUUUGUGUAUUUGUUUUUUUGAUUGGUUGAGUGUCCCUAAUCUUUGUACUCCUUCUUCUUUAUAUAGAGAACUGAGAGAGCUCUAGCUGAGAACCUUGAAUCUGUCUGAAUGCACUUCACUGCCAGCUAGCAUGUGAAAUAAUAUUAAAAUAGGCAAGUUUGCAUCUCCACCACAUGUUUAUUUCACACUUGCAAUAAAAUAAUUAAAAGAAGCAAACAAAGCUUCUUUCAUCACAUAUCAUUGCCCGAAAGCUUGCAUGGUGUCUUCCUAUACACUUGCAUGAAAAAACAUGCAUUUGUCUUGAUUAAACAAAUCUCUUGGAUAAAUCUCCACCACCCAAAUAAAAGGGAAAAGUAAUAUUAUAAUAUCAAAAUCAUCCUACUUGCGGCCAAAUAUCUUUCUAAGUUAGCUUUCUUGCACAUUUAUCCUUCAAAUGCCAUAUUUUAGCCAAAUAACCCAAAUAAGUGAAAUUGUACACACUUUAGGUGCAAACAGAGUCCCCACCUCCUCCAGCUGAUGUCAUGCGCCCUUCGUCCGAUUCUCCACUAGCACCACAAGGAGAAGCACCAGAAAAAUCUCCUUCAUCCCCCACCGUCACACCUCCUCCAUCUGGUUCCAAAUCUGCUCCUCCACCAGCUAAUAACUCACCCCCUGCACCCACGAUGCAAUCACCACCUCCUUCGGUCCCUUCACCCCCUGGUACUUCGCUCCUUCAACUUUCCCAUUAAUUGAGUAAUUAAUACAAUAAGAAAGGUCUGGGUGUGGUUGUGUUCGAGUGGGAGGAGAAGAAGAUUGACGCAUCUUUUUUUUUUCUUUCUUUUCUUUCCUUUUUUUUAAGUUUUUAAUUAUACAAAAGAUAACAUUGUUUUAAUUAUUUAAAUAGUUUUAAUCCACGUGGUAAUAUUUAAUUAGACUUAUGGGACCCAAUUAUGUACCAUGUCAUCACAUAACGAAAUUUUUGACAGAAAUGUAAUGGAAGAACUAGAUUGAUUUGCGACAUCUAUUUUCAGGGAUUAUAUUGAUUGAUUUUCAAUUUCAGAAACCAUCUUGAUGAAAUGAAUCGAUUUUAGAAAUCAUUUGUGAUAAAAACCCUUUUGUUAAUUGAUGACGUGACAACGUCGUAGACUAAAGUCGUGCCACUUUAUUAAUUAACAAAGCAUUUGACGAAACAAAUCAACGAAAGUACAAAAUUGCCAAAAAAAAAUUAAACUUGUAUGAAAAAUGAUCAAAUUUUAAAAAAUUUUAGAAUAAUAAAAGGAGAAUUACUCAUUUUAUUUAUUUAUUUACCGUGAAGGCGAGCUUCGAAUCAUUUAUUUAACCUAUAUAUGAGAAAAUUCACAUUUAGAUAUCUUAGAAUGGUAGGUGCGAGCAACAACUACACUCUUGGUGAAUUAGUGCACACUUUUGGCGAAUUUUUACACAUAAUUUAAACUUGUAAACUUUGUCGUGUUUAUUCUAAGAUAAAAUUUUGUGGCUAAUAAAUAGACUAACUCGAGUUUAUCAUGUUUUCUAGGUUAUCUCGAUCAAAUUCUUGCCUCUUGUCUACAUUUUUUGGUGUUCUUUUUGUCUACCAUAGACACUAUUAAAAACUUUAAGCCUUUAUUACCAAAAACUUAUGAAAUGUAAAUAUAAUUUUUAUAUCUCAAAUAUACCUCUUUCAUUGUUAUUACGCUUAUGUAUAUUUUCGUAAUGCAAUUCUUUCAUUUUUGAACAAACAAGUAGAAGAAUGAAGUCUCUGGUCUAGUCAUAAUAACCUAGUUUAAAUUUAUCAUUGAUAAUAAUCGAACCUAAGAUCUUUCAUUUAUAAAUAAAGAGAAAUAUUAUUCACCGUAGUAUUAAGUGGCAACGUAAUUCUUAACAAAUUUAAGUUUUUUAACCUAAUUUUACUCUCCUCUAUUGAACCAAAAAAAUAUAAAAAAUAAUAAUAAUAAAUAAAAUAAAAUUACACUCGUUUCUUCUUCAUUUUGGCGGUGCCGGGAAAAUUGGCGCUUCCAAACGAGUGCAGUACAACGGAAAUGGAAAUUGAUCACUGGAAAUCAAGGGUAGCAGCAACCUACUUUAUUCUCUAAUUCACUGGGGAAAAAAUACAUAAAUCCAAAGAAAUGAAAAACCCAAAUGAAAAAAAUUAAUUAGAAGCUUUCAACUGAGAGAUUACCUGAAGAGCGGAAAGUUUCAGCAAGCGAAAAUAGAGAUGGAGCCCCCAUCCCUCACUUGAAUCGAAUUCUCCCACCUCUCUCUCUGCCAGGAACAGGAAUCCCAGAAAACCCUCGACGAUAUCGAACCACCAAUUCUUCCUCCUUGUCUCCCUCCCAUUUUUGUAUGGUUUUGCAGCAUCGAGAAGGCGGUGGAGGUGGACUACCACUGGCCGAGUUCGACGACAUUCAAGUGUAAAAGAGAAGAAUAUGUACGUGUGCUUACAAAGUCGUUAUACAUAUAUAUUUUGUAUUAUGCUUUUGAUAAGUACAAACUAGAUGGAAUUUUUGUAUUAAAUGGAUGGUAGUUACAUAAUUGUUUGUUUGUGGAAACAUUUACUGAAGAUAUAAUUCUUUUACCCGAAGGGGUUUGGUCUGGUGGAUAAAAGCUGGCUAGGCCACAAGUUGGGCGGUUCCUUUGAGUAGGUUCCUCUUAGGGAGGUCAGGCCCGUCAGGGGUUCGAUCACCCGCUUGUAAAAAAUCCUCUUAGGGAGAGCUUUCCGUAAAAACAGCGAUUCGGCUCGGAGUGGAAGCCAUGGAUUGCCCAUACAAAUGGACGAAAAAUUGAGCGUUUGAAGUUGAUUUUUAGAAGGAAUUCUUCCAGACAAGUUGUUGUAAGACAAGUCCAAGUGGGACAAAGAGGUUAAAGAUGACAAGUUUUGAGGAAUCUGUCUGAAAGGUGGUUGUGUGAAAGACCAAGAGUUUCAAGCCAACGCAAGUUUCCUACCUUAGAGGGGAUCUUUCCACUCAAUUGAUUCAUGGACAAAUUCAAAGUGUCCAUUAGAAUAAGGCUGCUUAUUUCUUCAGGGAUUUCCAUGAUUGCACUAUUAUUAUAUCUCUUUUUUUUUUUAUUGAACCAACAAAUUUCCAUAUUGAUAUUUCUAUACCUAAUUUAUAUAAAUAUAUUAUUACUGAUUUAUUUUAAUUUAUAUUAAGUGAUUCAACCUUUAAUUGAAUUGAAGCCUUUGUGAUAAAAUUUAUAGUUGUUUAGUAUGUGGUUAACUUGGUGAUAGUAUCGAUGUUGUACUUAUUAACAAUGGGUUGCUGGAUCUUUUUUUUUUUUUAAAUUUUAAUAUGGUAUUAGAACAGGACCUUGACACUAUUUUAUGACAAUUGAUCCAAUUAUGAAUGAAGACGGUGACCCCAACUUAAUCGCACAAAACAACGUGUUAGAUUUUAUAUAAAAGACCUAAAUGCAACUAGUAAUGGAACAAUUUUUUUUCCUUCUAAUAUGGAAUAUGUUUUAACUCGCCUCCUUACGUGUGACUCAAUUUUAAUAGGCUAUAAGUGAAGACAACUCCAUAUCGAUAACCCACUAACUUUUGUUUCGGCCAAUUUUGAUUUGGAUGUCCCAACUCGAGACUUCAUUACUUUCCAUUUGUGGUCUAAAUCAAAUUUAAUUGGGCCUAGAGGACUAGUAGCUAUGGUGCCAUGUAGAACUUUUUGAGAUGGUCCAUCUACCCACUAGUAAUUAAUCAACAUCAUAUUAUCCGCAACUUAAUUACUUAUUCAAACCCAUAGGUGUGGGUUUGAAUACAAAUUUAAACAAAAGACUUAGACGCAAUUAGUAGUUAAAAUAUUGUAUAAAAGGAGUUUAAUUUUAUUAAGUUUAAGAUGUCAUGUUUCAACAUGCCACCUCACGUAUGACCCAUUUUCAAUGAGUCACAUGUGAAGGUAACUCCACAUUGGGGACAAUUUUUAUUUAGAUUUUGAGGAUUUUAGUUGGGUGUCCCAACUCGGGGCUUCAGGGUUUGCAAUUCGUGGUCCCAAUUUCAGUUCAAUCAUUCCCAUAGGAUUAGUAUGCUCUAGUACUAUGUAAAAUAUAGAGACAGCUCAUUGGUCCACUACAAAUCAAUACCAAUAUUGUUCCCAACUCAAUUACAUGUGUAAACUAAUAAGUUUAGAGUUUUUUUUACAAAAGAUCUAGAUUCAAUCAGUAGUCGAACUGCAGGUGGCCCUUGCAUAACGGUAUGUGUGUGUUCCUUCCAUACUGCAUAUGAUGACAUUCAUCUUAGUUUCCGACCAAAAUUUAUGACUAAAUGAUUAAUUCUAUUCAACUUUUGGAUGCAUUCCAUACAAUAAAUCCAUCCUAACCCAAAUCUCUUGUGCUAAUUAUGCUCUUUUUAUUCUAUCAUAAAUAAUAUUGCUUAAUAAGAAACAUCGUGGAGGCUUCCUUCCCACACUGGACAAGAAUAUUAUGGACGUAUUUGUUAGGAUAUAUUCAGUGCAUCAUCUUAAAAUUACUUAACACGUAUCUUCCAGAUCCUUAAAUUCCUUGUGUUGUAAAACGUAAUGAGUUGGUUCAAAACUCACACACAUACCCUCUUCACUCUUGGACAACAAAUUAAUAUAUAUUUUCCUAUGAGAAAUGCUAAUAGGACGUUCUCAAAAGUGUGACUCUUCAUAGACUUUCUGUCAUCUCUUGUUCUUAAUACAUAAUUGUAUAAUGUUGACACAAGAAUUAACGUUAAAUUGUAAAAUGACAAAGAAUUUAUAAAGAAUCACUUUAAAAAGGUUAACAUUUCUCUUACUAUAUAUAUAUACUAGAAAUUUGAACCCGCGAGUUGAUGCGGGAUUAAAAAUUGUAUGAAAGAUUAUGCAAUUUCAUUUUUUCAUAAGCAAUAUUUGAGUCAAGAACUAAGAAUUACAAACGCCAAAGCAAGCAGAAUGGAAGCAAGUUGCUGACCCUAGUUUUUUUGUGAACACUAAUAAAAUUCAAUCAACAUCUACCAAACAAAUGCAUACGUAGAAACUAAAAUACUAAACCUUCUCAUUUUCUGUUCGAAAAGCCCUGCAGGCGUCAGAAUUUCGCUCCUGAUGGACUCCAAUUCUCUUGUUUUCAGUUCAAGAGUCGUUCCUGCAACAACAUCAAACAAUGUGAUUCUGGAUAUAAUGGUAUAUUUGAACAGUAAUGUAGUUUUGAAUUAAAUUGUAUGCAGAGUUUCUCAACAAAUUUAUAGUUAAUUUAAAAAAAAUAGCAAUCUGCAAGUAAUUUAGAAACUCGUUCCAACCCAAAAAGUAGUUCAAAUCUUUGAAAUUGCAAUUUCACAAGUCACUAAACCCAACUUACAGAUUAUGUCCUUUUCAUUUAUUUCCUCCAAUUCAAACAUAUCAUAAAGAUCAAUUUCAGUUCUUAAUUAGCAUCAACAACAUGAUAUCAAGAUUCCCGGUAAAUAGCACAAACUACCCAAAGGCAUUACUCUAAUGAUCAAACAAUAUUGAGAUCCACAAUCAAGUAGCCAAAGGAAAACAAUUAUCAGAUGUUCAGAUAAGAAAAACUAUGAAAUACUGAGAUUAAAAGGUUACCCACACUUAAUCGAGUGAAUGUUGAGCUAAGCUGAUAGUAAAUUCAAACUGAGCAACCACUCAAAUUUCGACAGUAAGCAUAAUAUACAGAUUCAAAAUCACCCGACUCCUGCAAAAAGAACAUAUAAUACUUAUUACACAUCGAAAGUUGAAAAACAAUACAAUUUCUUUUGAGAUUUUUCAGUGAAAGUACCUCAUCAGACGCCUUUUGGAAAUAAACUCUUGCCUCAUUCUGGUCCAGGGUACAUAAUCCACAAGCAGUUUGAGCAUUUCCAAAACACCACAGAGCAUCAUCUUUCCUAGGAUUAAUCAACAAUGCUUACUCCAGCUUCGAAAUAGCAUCUGGGCAAACAAACACAAACCUGCAUUUAUAAAUUCAAACUCUCAAAUAACUAAAUGAAAAAAGUUCCAAAUUCAAAAUUUUCAAGGCUACCAGAUAACAUUUGGAGAAUUCCAAAGUCUAUAAAUAGAUAUUAAACAUGAAAGACCACCUCCAAGAACUAAUUAGGCUUGGAAAAAAAAUGGAUCCAAGUAGAUAACAGAUUAAAAUCGAGCGCGAAAUCCGUCAACAAAAUUGGAGUCUCAUUGGAAAAUGGAUGGAAGCUGAUUCCACUAUUUCUCUUCACUGUCAUAAACAAUGAUACGAAUUACCUACUGAUGGACAGAACUUGAAAAUAACAGCCCUCAUUUUACUAUCUGUCACAUAUAUUUUUUAGAAAAUGGGCAUUGCUUAUCAAAUUUUCAGUCUGGAGAACUUGUCAGGUUUAAUGAAUCAACUUCGUUAUUAAAGAACUUGCACUAUAAGAUUCGUAGAGAAAUGCUUUCUUACAACGAUAGCUAAGAUGAUUUGGGAGUCAUCUACUAUUCUUAUCGACAUUUUAGCUAUCAUUCCCCUUCCACAUGCAAGAACAGCUCUUCUUAGAGUAAAUUUUACAGUUGCAAUUUCUUUAUUUUCUUAGAUGAUAAUAGGGUUCUAUUAAUAUUGUCCAUUUGUGUUUGAAUUUCAAAGUUGAUAUACAAAGACAGCACUAAAACACAAUAAUUUAGAACAUAAAAGAAAAUGUAACUAAAAAAAGUAACCGAUGAAAAAAUGGAGAAAUAUGCACGAACCUUGGAAGUAAGAAAGCAGAUGUUGCUUUCUAGUUGUUGACAGAAUUAUACGGAGGACCGUUUGAAUUUGGGAUUCGCUGCAGAGGGAACAAAUUAGAAGGUUAUAAAUUAUAGGUAUAAUUUAAUUUUUACAUUUGAUGCGUCGUCGGAUUAAAGGAAUACAAUAGGAUUAUGUUUUAGGUGCAAUUGUUGGAUUAAAUGAAUUAAGCACUGGUCAUUUCUAAUUGACUAUGAUAAAGAAAUCUUGUGAACCAUUUGAGUUUUGAGCAAAUAUGAUAAAGAGAUCAUGUUUAAUAUAUAUUAGUAAUUAAGAAAAUUUAGAGCAAUGAAUGAGUAUACAUUCACUGUUUUGCAGCAAGGCAAUAUGGUUUGAGAUGCUUGGGGAAUCUGAUAUAUUUUUUGUUGGAGCCUUUGUAGUAAAAGUUGUGUCUCAUAUUUCCUUUGCUGCAACAUCACUUGUAUAAAUAUAAAAUAGAGAAAAAUGAAAAGUGUCAGUAAACACCGAGUAGUGUGGUACUUCGAAGUGUUAUUAAACAUUGAGUAGUGUGGAACUUCGAACCAUGGAAAACAUAUGAAUUUGAUGCAAAUGUUUGUGAGAUGAAUGAACUUGAGAUGAAGAUAGACAUAUUAGAUUGUGGGACCUUUUACGGAAUUGCUUGGGGUUGCUUUGGUUUUCAGAGAAAUCAUCGGGGCAUUGUCGGAAACCGAGUCAGAAGCUGAUAACCUUUUCUAUGGAGCCUUUGCAGUGGGAGUUGUGGCAUCACACAGAUAGAUGUAAAACGGAGGACAAAUACAGGCAUUAGUGAGCAUUGACUAAUGUGGAGAUCAAAAUUAAACGCAUUAGAUACAUGCAUAAUACAUUGUUAGAGGAGAAUGUUUCAAUGAUUCAACUUGAGGAAAAAUAAUGCAAUUUCAGCUACAAUGAUUUCACUUACAAAUUUUCGAAAUCGUUAGGCACUCCCUUCAGAGGACCAGACGAUGGAUAUUGAUGUUUCUAAUCACGGAAAAAAGAAAGAACAUAAACAAACAUCGCAAACCCGUCAACCAAUAUGAUAGGUCAAUUACACAAUACAGAAGAAACUGAAUAGAGAUUCAAUUGUUCAAAGUCCAAAUUCUAGAAAAUAAAUCCUAAUUAACAACCAACUAAUAAUGGGUAAUCAUUGAAAUUAAAAGAACAGCAUAAGGAAGGGAGAGAGAGUAAUGCAAUAUUAAAUAAUUGUAUUAGAUAUAACUCUACUGUCCAAACAUUUAUCACUACAAUUUACAACAAAUCAACCCCCAAUAUAGCUCACCAGAAAAAAAAAGAGCGUCAGCAGCACCUGAUGAAUCCACCGGAAAGCAUGGUGGAAGAGAGAGAAGAAUUGAUGAUUUCACCAUCUGGCAACAACCCAUUUCAUAAAAAAAAAUUACUUUCACAAACCCGCUUUGUAGCAAAAAUAAAGAAAAAACAAACACUUACUAUGUCGUAUGACUUUAAUUCCAAUUUCCCCUUCAAGCUCCCUAGCUUUUGAACCAUCAUGCUCAUAUUCAUAAAGCCCUAACCAUGAAACCAAAAUUACUACCUUGACAAAUAAACAUAACCAACAACAAAAACAACUAAAAGUUUCAAAUGGGCACUGCCAAAAAUUACCAGCCGAGCUACCGAAGACAGCGAUAUCAGGUCCGAAAACUAAUUUCCACUAUUCCAACAAAGAUCCAACAGGGCCCCAAAGCGUCAAGGAAUAAAGUGCAAUGAUAGUAUUAUCCUUGUCGAACACCCUUUCCAUGUAAUUCAGGCCAAUCAAUGUACAUCUAUUGCCUUUGAUUUUAUCCUUUUGAAUUUGAAAAGGAGUAUGUAGUAAACUGAAUUCUUUUAAGAAUUGUAUCCUUUUCAAUAAUUUCAACAUAAAUCCCCAAAAUCACAAAAAUGAAAUGUCAACAGAAAACCCAUUUAGAAAGGAAAAUUUACACUUGUACACACAUAAUAUUUAAACCACAAAAAUGCCCACCCCAAAUCAGCUGAAGAUCUCAGCGGUAAACGCUACCUUUUCGGGUCCAAAGCUCUAAAUUGUGUACCUUGGGUAGAGAGAGCUUCAGAAAACAACGUCGUCGGAGAACCAGCCUUUGAUGCGGCUGCGGCACAUGUGCUGGUGGUUCAAUUUCGCCUGAUUCACCAUACAAAAUAUUGCUAUAUUUUAACAUCUCACGUACAACAUGAAAAUCAUACACAAUAUUUUGUAUGAUUAACUAUAAUCAAUUGCUAUUUCUUAAUUUUGAAUCCAGUAACUCUACAACUUCAAUUAAAACUAAACUCUGAGAUCCAAAUAUCAUCAAAAUUCAUCAAAACCAAAAUUUUAAGCAAAUUAAACAAAAACCCAAAUCCUUAUUCAGCAAAAUCCCCUACAAAAUUUCCAAAAAUCGAAAACUUCAAGAAGAUUAAAGCAAAACUCACUAACGUUUGUAGCUACAUUCCUGAGAAGCACAACUAUAGUAUGCCUGGUGGAGUCAUCAGCUUUCACCAGCAACAGUCGCAAGUUCAUCGUCGGCAGUAGCUUCUCCCACCGCAUCGUCCCGACAGAAAAAUCGCACUUGCUGCCGUUCUUCUCCGGAGAAAACAGAGAGCUACAGUGUUUUAAUGAAGCUGGAGAGUGGAAAAUCUCUCAAUAUCUUCUUCUCAUCCUGAUAUUAGUCUUUGGAUCGAGAGACUUUCAAUAUCACCGUCAUACGAGGCAGUGACAAGGUACAGGUGGUGUGUUCUUCUUGUACAAAUAUAUAAAGGGUGUGGUAUCUACAUAUCUCUUUUUAUUUCUCACAUACCUUUUUGAUUUUCGACCGUCGAAUCGGAUGAAUUAAAGAAUAUCAACAUAUAGAAAUUAACAAGAGGUGUAUGAGAAGUAAAAAUGAGUGUAUGGAUAGCACACCCCUAUAUAAAUAGUAAGAUAUGAAUAUUAAAAAGUUAAUAACUUAAAAAUUAAAAUAUUUUACUACUUAUAUAAAAACAUGUGGUGAUGUAUCAUCUAUAUUACCGUCACAACUAAACAAAUUUCCCUUGAAUCUCAUCGGCGAUCCAAUUCCCACCAGCAAGUUUUACGCUUUACCGUUCAAACAACUUGUAACCCAACGGGCUCCAUCCACCUCAAUACUUAAUUUUGUUUACACUUGUACACACAUAAUAUUCAAGUGUAAAAGAGAAGAAUAUAUACAUGUGCUUACCUGGUUUAUGAACAAAGUGUUAUUUUGUUAAAUUGCAACAUUAAAUAGAUAGCCGUUACAUAUAUAUUUUGUACUAUGUCUAUGGGAUUGAUAAGUACAAACUAGAAAUAAUUCUUGUAUUAAAUGGAUAGUCAUGACAUAAUUCUUUUAUUUAAUACAUAAAUUGCAAGUACCAAAGCACACAGUAGAAGGGGAAAAACAUCACAUUAUAUAUUAGUACAAUCAAAAUUCAAGAUAAAAACCUUUUUAAACGAGCCACUUUCAAAGCAAUUGCUAGUGCUACUUUAUCUUUGAUGUCAUCGAAGAAUUGGAAAUAGGCAUACCUCCACGAUGUCUUUAAGAUCAAUGUGCCGCAGACGCCCCAAAAACCUAUGAUAAAGCCAAGUACCACGCUGACAUAAAACCACAACUUAUCAUUUCCUUCUUCAUUCUUGUCCUUUGCAUCCUUCGCAGUAGAAGUGUCAUCUUCAGGGCACUUUGUUGAGAGAGGAACACCACAUAGAAAUUGAUUGCCCAUAUAAAUGGACGAAAUAUUGAGCGUUUGAAGUUGGUUUCCAGAAGGAAUUCUUCCGGACAAGUUGUUAUAAGACAAGUCCAAGUGGGCCAAAAACGUUAAAGAUGACAAGCUUUGCGGAAUCUGUCCCGAGAGAUGGUUGUGUGAGAGAUCAAGAGUUUCGAGCUGACGCAAGUUUCCGACCUUGGAGGGGAUCUUUCCAGUCAAUUGAUUCAUGGACAAAUUCAAGGUGCCUAAUUGAAUGAGGUUGCUUAUUUCUUUAGGAAUUUCACCAUGUAAAUUAUUUGAUGAAAGAUCAAUGCUCUUUACAAGAUAUAGAGUCUUGUUGUACACAAGUUCUUCUCCUUUUAGUGUCAGUUUGGCAUGCUCAAAUAUUUUACGAGAACCCCCAAAGCUUAUAACAUUAAACGUUUCAAAAUCAUAUCCAUAACCAUAUCCAUAAUCAUAUCCAUAAUAAUCAUCAUUGACGAGAGAAGUUAAGUUAUCCAAACACAUUGGAAUAGUACCUGAAAGGCUAUUGUUACUAAGGUCAAGGAUGUGAAGGCCAUGAAGAUUGCACAGUUGUUGGGAAAUAUGGCCACUCAAAUAGUUAGACCGUAAUCGUAGCAUAGACAACUUGGAUACAUUUGACCCUCCAAUCCAUAGAGGUAUGUUCCCAGAUAACUUGUUGUCUCCAAGAUCAAUACUCCUCAAAUUUGAACACUUUUGCAAGGCAUCAGGAAUUUCACCGUCAAAAUUGUUGUCGUUGAGCUUUAAUAUUUCCAGGGAACGUAGUCCCCCCAAUGAAGUGGGAAUCGUACCAGAGAGAUUGUUUUGAC